UACAGAGGGUGCGAGCGUUAAUCGGAAUUACUGGGCGUAAAGCGCGCGUAGGCGGCUUUGCAAGUCGGGUGUGAAAUCCCCAGGCUUAACCUGGGAACUGCAUUCGAGACUGCAUUGCUAGAGUAUGGGAGAGGGAAGUGGAAUUUCCGGUGUAGCGGUGAAAUGCGUAGAUAUCUGGAGGAACACCGGUGGCGAAGGCGGCGUCCUGGACCAACACUGACACUGAUGAGCGAAAGCCAGGGAGCAAACGGG
rnacentral:rRNA from 1 species